ensembl:lncRNA
CAAUCCUGAACCCCCUCCCACCUCCCAUCCCAUAUCAUCUCUCUGGAUCAUCCCCGUGCACCAGCCCCAAGCAUCCUGUAUCCUGUAUCGAACAUAGACUGGUGAUUCGUUUCUUAUAUGAUAGUAUACAUGUUUCAAUGCCAUUCUCCCAAAUCAUCCCACCCUCUCCCUCAACCACUUGAGUUUAAAUGUACCAUCUUACUGUUUGUUUUCAGUGUGGCAUAUUGUGCUAUCUUUUCUCUCCUUCCUUGCCUCUUAUAUUAAUUACUGUUCCAUAUUCCCCUCUAUUGGCUUUUUAGUCAUACAUCAUAUUAUUCUCCUUUUAGAGACUGUACCAAAAAUAUUACCAUACUACUGUACUUAUGUUGACUUCUUAGAGUCAAAUAUAGAUUGGAAAUUUUGCCAUAUAGAGACAAGGGCCUUUUACCCUCUUAAACAUUUAUACUAUUGUUUUCAUGGACUGAUUUCUAGAAGUAUUCUAAAUCCCAUAGAAACUGUGCUUAUCUUUUGUUAUAUAGUCCACCUACCUGUGUAUAUAUCCUUCCUGUUUCUCCUCAUUCCCUCCUGUAUCUUUGAACUUCAGUCUGAGAUAAUUUUCCUUCUGUUUUGAAGAACUCCCCUUAGUAUUUCUUUCAUUGAAGGCAUGAUAGUGACAAAUACUUUCAAGUAUUGUUUGUCUAAAAAUGUCUCUCUUUUUCACUUUGAUUUUUGGGUAUAGGGUUUUAUGUUGAGAGUUCUUUUAUUUUAGCAUUUUGAAAGUAUCAGUCCAUAGUCAUCUUGCUUCUCUUGUUUCUGUUGAGAAGUCAAUUAUCAGUCUGUCUUAUUAUCCCUUUUCAGAUUGUGUUUUGUUUUUCUUUCACUGUUAAGGUUCUGUCUUGCUCUUUGGUUUUUAGCAGUUUCACUAUGCUAUGACUAGAUAGUUCUACUAAUAGUGUAUUUUUUUCUGUUUCAAAAAAUUGUCAGUCAUUAUCCUUUUUUAAUAUUGUUUGCAUCUUAUUUUAUGAAAGUGUCACUCAGUCAUGUCCAGCACUGUGACCCUAUGGACUGUAGCUUGCCAGACUCCUCUGUCCUUGGAAUUCUCCAGGUAAGAAUACUGGAGUGGGUAGCCAUUCCCUUCUUGAGGGAAUCUUCCUGACCCAGGGAUCAAACCUGGGUCUCCCACAUUACAGAAAAAAAUUCUUUACUGUCUGAGCCACCAGCAAAGCCCCUCUUAUUUUCUAUUAGAACUCUAAAGACGCAUAUUAGAUCUUCUUAUUGUGUUCCAUUUAUAUAUAUACACACACACACAGAGGAUGAGGUGGUUGGGUGGCAUCACUGACUCGAUAGACAUGAGUUUGAGCAAGCUCCAGGAGUUGGUGAUGGACAGGGAAUCCUGUUGUGCUAUAUUAUACACACACACACACACACACACACAUAUAUAUCACACACACACACAUAUCUUGCUUUUACUACAUUUUCUAUCCUUUAUUCCCACUGUGCUUCAUCCUAGGCAUUUUCUCCUUACCUACCUUCAUUAAUUCUGAUUCUUCUGCAUCUAACCUGCUUGUAAACCCAUACUUUGAGUUCUUAAUUUUUGUAUUUUUAGUUGUGGGAUUUUUAUUUGGCUCUACUUUAUAGUUCUCACUGUUCAUAAGCAAGUCUUUACCCCUGUUUUUGAAUAAAUGUUGAACAGCGUAUAUGGAAAGAGAUUAAGUUAUUUGAGGCUGGCAGCCACAAAUUGGCACUUGCCCUGGGUGCUUGUCCUCUGCCUCUACAGGGAUUAAAUCGUGUGCUGCUGCAGCUGCUGAACUCUAACACUCUCUGAAGGAGCUCAGGAUGGAGAGCAGAAAUGAAGCACUCUGUGCUCCAGAAAAACUGACAGGACAGGUCUUCAGAUAGUUAGAUAUUAUUAGGAGCUGAUUUUAUGAGCCCAGUUCUUUUAUCUCGUCAUAUCUGUUGUUGUUCAGUCACUAAGUUGUAUCUGACUCCUUGCAGCCAGCAUGGAGUGGACUGCAGCACGCCAGGCUUCCCUGUCCUUCACUGUCUCCUGGAGUUUGCUCAAACUCAUAUCCAUUGAGUGCUAAAAUCCUUCAUGGUGAUGAUCAUUUCUCGUGACUAGCAGACGCUUCAUGAGACAAGCAGAAACUGUCUACAAAAAAAAAAAAAAAAAAAAGUAUGUGCUUGAUGGCAUAUAUUUCCCCUUUACCAAAAUCACAUAUAUACUGUCCUUCCCCCAGCUACCUCUUUGGAGCAGUUUCUCAGAGCUAUCUGAGGUACUGUCUCCCUGGCUACAGUCCUCAUAUUGCCCCAGAUAAAAUUUAACUUGCAACUUUCACACUGUACAUUUUUUUUUAUAAGUUGACAGUGGUUUGGGUGAUAGUUAAAAUCUUCCAGAAAGAAAAAGAAAAAAAGAGCUGUGAGGCAAAUAUCAAAGCCAGAGAACUUUCAGUAAAAUGUUUCAGUAAAAAUAAAAUGUGUGAUUAAAACAACUUCUCAAGAAAAUUGAAAGGUUUAAAUUGCUAUGUCAUAGAUUCUUUUAAAUGCAACUUCCUAUGGAUUUUAAGGAAAAACCCUUUCUGCAGACAAUAGGGCUCCUAAAAAUAUUAAUUCUGUUUUACCAUGGCAGUCCCAAAGGGAACCAGUAGAGAGAAACACUUACUGCAAAGAGAUUUGUGACUGUGGCUUUUAUUAAAUGGAAUGGUUUAUACAUGCAUGGGCAGGAAGGCCAUCAUACUUUUAAAGUUAUUAUAAUGGCUUGUGUAAACACAGGCCACUUAUAAUAAAAAGAGAAGGAUUGCUAGGAACAUGAAUAAAAAAAAUCCAUGAGCAGAGUAAAGAUCUAUGAAAAAUCAGUUCAGUUUGGUUCAGUCACUCAGUUGUGUCUGACUCUUUGCGACCCCAUGAAUCGUAGCAUGCUACGCCUCCCUAUCCAUCACCAACUCCCCAGAGUUCACCCAGACUCACGUGCAUCGAGUCAGUGAUGCCAUCCAGCCAUCUCAUCCUCUGUCGUCCCCUUUUCCUCCUGGCCACAAUCCCUCCCAGCAUCAGGGUCUUUUCCAAUAAGUCAACUCUUCACGUCAGGUGGCCAAAGUAUUGGAGUUUCAGCAUCGGCAUCAGUCCUUCCAAUGAACACCCAGGACUGAUCUCCUUUAGGUGGACUGGUUGGAUCUCCCUGCAGUCCAAGGGACUCUCAAGAGUCUUCUCCAACACCACAGAUGAAAAGCUUCAAUUCUUCGGCGCUCAGCUUUCUUCACAGUACAACUGUCACAUCCGCACAUGACCACUGGAAAAACAGCCUUGACUAGAUGGACCUUUGUUGGCAAAGUAAUGUCUCUGCUUUUGAAUAUGCUAUCUAGUUUGGUCAUAACUUUUCUUCCAAGGAGUAAGCGUUUUUUAAUUUCAUGGCUGCAAUCACCAUCUACAGUGAUUUUGGAGCUCUAUGAAAAAUAGCUGAGUCUAAUUCAAAGAAUUAGAAAUAAGUACCUGAUUGGAUUUCAAAAUUGCUAUGGGCCAGAGAUUGUUUUCAUCUGCUCUUUUCCCCCUUUUUAAAACAGGAUUAUAUAUAGCAGUUAUUCUAUGCAUGCUACAAGUAUAUGUAAUAAGAGUUGGGGGGCAAAUAACCUAUUUCUUUAAUUGGUAGGUUUUUUGAUCAAGACAACCCAUCCUCAAGGAAUCAUACCUAAGGACCCUUACCCACAGUAGACCUGACUUAGAUGACAAUAUCCUAGAAUUUAAGUUGAUGUCAUAAUAAGAGGAAACUUUGGGAGUCUAAGUGAAGAGACAAGUAUAUUUUAAUAAGAUAUGUCAGUGAUGCUUCUGUAUACCACAGCCUGUAAUGUGCAAUCCUCUACACUUAUUUCUUUCUCUUUUCCGUAACACAUAAUAGAGGCGGCUAGAGAGCAAAGACAUCAUCCCAACCUUAGCCUCUGGAAAUGAAGCACACACCAUCCAAUAACUACUGGCUAAGGAAUAAUCUCAUGUCUAAUGGAGAAGGGAACUCUCUAUAAUGUUCUGGGAAUAGAUAGUUUUCUCUCGCAGCUUGCAUCCCCUGCUAUACCUUGGAAUAUCUAGAGCAGAAAAAAAUUUUACUUCUUUCCAUUUCACCCCAGCUGCUUUCUUGGGCCAGUGAGAGAGCAGAAAACAGGCUUUGAGUCAUUCAUUAUGCAAAAGCAGUGCUGUGUGUAUUUCUGGGGAGAAGGCAUUCAUGAAUAUAAGUUAACAUUAAAAUAGUCUUCCAAGUAUAUGAGAUGUUGAGAUACAUUAGUGUUUGCAUGCAGAAAGUUCUAUAUUUUUUUCUAAUGCUUUAUAGUCAUAUGUUGGUUAUUCACAGUCAUGUGAAUUAUAUGUUAUAAUCAUUCAUUAGUUCUUUGUACCUGGUACCUUUCAGUCCCAAACCUCACUGCUUUAUUUGCUCUCUGCCAAUCAUUGUAGAUGAGAAGGAAACUCAGGAGAAAGAAUGUGUAUGUCAGAUAAAGAGAGACCAGAUGCAGUUGAUGAUGAGAUAUGAAUUAUACACGUGGGCUCAUUCAUCCCCUUCCCUUCUGACUUUAGGGGAAAAAUAAAGUUUAAAAUUUUAAAGGUAUUGCUUCUUUUCAAAAUCUCUAAUUCUCUGAACUGGUGCUAAUUUUCUUGAAUGACAGGAGGAAACAAGAUGGGGAAUUGAGUGUGUUAACACUACCUAAUAUCUUCAGUGUUAUGCCCUUAUUAGUGAGUAAUUUGCUGUAUUUAACUUUCCAUCUCUAGAGAGUUGAGUAUUUAUAUAAAUCUACCAAACUACUUAAGUGUGCAGAAAACAAUGUAGGUUCUUGUAAUAGCAUUGAAAUAUUUAGUUUAACAACUCAUACAUAGUUGCAUUUGUUUCCUUUUUUGUUUUCCUCCCAAGAUAUUUAGGCUUGUCAUACUGCUACUGCUGCUGCUAAGUCUCUUCAGUCGUGUCUGACUCUGUGCGACCCCAGAGAGCACAGUCCACCAGGCUCCCCCGUCCCUGGGAUUCUCCAGGCAAGAACACUGGAGUGGGUUGCCAUUUCUUUCUCCAAUGCAUGAAAGUGAAAAGUGAAAGUGAAGUCGCUCAGUCGUGUCUGACUCCUAGUGACCCCAUGGACUGCAGCCUACCAGGCUCCUCGGUCCAUAGGAUUUUCCAGGCUUGUCAUAAUCAUACCGAAAUAAAGAAUAUAGAAUUGGACAUAGAAAAAAAUACUGCAUUGGUGGAACAAACUUAUUACUUAUUUCAGUUUUUAGGAAUAACCCUCCACUUUCUACUUUAUUGAUUCUGAAAAUACUUAAACAGAAUUUUAAACAGAAAGUGAUUCUCUAAAACUGCUUCUCAUAUUUACAUUCAAAACUUAACUGUGACAGAUAGGAAUCAAAGUGUGGAAAGAAUGUCAACUUUAGAAUUUCUUUGGGAACUCAUUGUUUUUUCUUUAUUUUUAAUGUAUAUUAUUAAAUAUGCAUAUAGUAAAAUAUCUAUAUUAUGAAAUAUGUCCUACAUAGUUAAAGCAUCAAGUCAAUAAAUAGUUGAUUUUGCUAAUUGUCUAUUCAGCAAUAAGAAGAGGAACAUUUCAACUUUGGGGAUCCUCCACCUUCAUAAGUUGGCAUUUUCCUAUUUAUGAAGAUAUUUGUCUAGGAUUUUCUAGAUCACAGAACUAGUUUACUAAUGAACUCUGAGCAUUACAAAUCUGCCCACAAGUGUGAAGGCGUUAGGGAAAAUGAUUUGUACUCUUGUCAGUGAGCUUUCUGAUCUACACCUGUAACUAUGCAUUCAGAUUUUGCACAAAUAUGAGAAAGGAAAAUGAGAGAGUAAUUAAUUUUGUAUAGAAUAAUUAAAAAAUUAUAAGAGAAUUCCACAUCCACAGAAAAGGUGCAAUGUGUAAGAAAUGCCCCUGAGAAGAUUACAGAGAAAAGGGAACUGGAUCAUGAUAAAUAGAUACACCACCUGAUUCUACAUGGGUGGAAGAGGGUAGCAUGCUAUAGGAGGAAGACCACUGGACUAGGAAUCGGGACACCCGAUUCGCACUAGGUCUAACUUAGUGACCUUGGACAUAUCACUUCAGGCUUUUGCACCUUGUAAUCUUUAUUAUAAAACUACCAAUUUGAAUGACAUAAUCUAAUCUCUUCAGUAGCUUUUUAUAUAUUGAUCCUUAAAAAACACACACAAAAGUUUAGCAGUAUAAUUAUUUAGUUUGCAGGACAUUUUGUAAAUAAUUCUAGAAAGCCAAGUAACAGGUCCAGUUUGGACAUACGGAUUGAGGCCAGCUUAAAAUGAGACCCUGAGGGUGUGACUAAACAGUGGAUUGUAACAGGCAGUCAUUUUUUAUUCAUCUCUUGAUUAAUCUUAUACGGACAUAGAAGCCAAGCUCACUGCCGAGAUUAGGAUAGGGACAUAUGACAAGCACAUUGUUGUAGAGAAUGUUCUAGUCACAUAUGUCAUUUAUCUGCAUAGUAAAACUACAUAUAUAGGGUCCCCAAAGUUUAGAAUUUUCGAUAAUAGAUAUACAGAAUGUGAUUUAUACUUCUGAUGAAAAAAUCCUACCAUAAGAAAACUAGUAUAAGAAAAUAUGUUUAUAGAAGGGAAUAUUUAUAUCAAGGAAACAAACUUUUUAUAUACUUUAAAACCAUAUAUUUGUUUAGCCAUAAUGAUAAAUCAUUCUUAACCAUAAUUUUAUUCAGUUUGUUCAAAUCCAUUGGAAGAUCUGGGAUGAGUUCCUUGAUUGUUUAAUUGCUAGCAAAAUGCUUGACAUGAACAGAGUUUCACCAGCUGAGCAACAUAUCCUGAGUUAAAACUCAUGCAUAUCAGUUAGCUGUUCCUCUUCAGAAUCUCAGUUUUACAUUUUAAUGAUAAUACAGUUUAUAAUUCUAAGGCAUUUGAGGGAGAAGGAAGCAAAAAGAAAAGAAAACAAAACAAACCACAUAUCGUUGGCCACAGGGCAAGUUCACAGAUUGUAUUUAGCAGAGCUUUGGACAGUUGCUUCAGAAAGUUUGCCUUGACAUCAACUUUAUCCUUUCAGAGCUCUCAAAAGAAUAGAAAAUUAAUUUGACCCCCUGAAUCCUAUUAAUCUCUAAUUUCUAGACAUAUUACCAAUUCUCCUCACUUCAUCCUAGACUGCUAACUCCCACACUAGUACGUUAAAACACAGAAAAUUGGAAGAAAAAAAAUUUCCAUUUUUCUACUACCCAGAGAUAGUAAUUUUAACAUUUUAAAGAUUUAAUUAAUAUAAUAUGCAUAAUAUUCCUAAUGAAGAGGAAAAUCUUCAAAAGUCAUUUUCUCUUUGUAUUUUUAAAUCCAGUUAUCUUUUUCCUGCUGAAUGCUUACAGUGACCAUCUUUUCAACUAGAAAAAUAAAUUACUAUAAAUGUUUUUCCUGGGACUUUAAGAAGACAAGAAUAAAUUAGUACCUUCAUAUUGUAUGCUGUACUGUGCUUAGUUACUCAGUCGUGUCUGAGUCUUUGUGGUCCCGUGGACUGUAGCCUGCCAGGCUCCUCUGCCCAUGGGGAUUCUCCAGGCAAGAAUAGUGGAGUGGGUUACCAUGCUCUCCUCCAGGGGAUCCUCCCAACCCAGGGAUCAAACCCAGGCCUCCCACAUUGCAGGAGGAUUCUUUACUGUCUGAGCCACCAGGGAUAGGCAAUGGUAAAAAAGCAAGUCUCUACUUUUUGAUCCACAGCCCCAUGGCCUGUGUCAGCUUCACCGGGCCUUUGGAAAGAAGAGGUUGGAGGACAGAGAAGCAUAUCAGGAAGAUAUUAAAGGACUGAAAUAUUUUCACUGUGUUUUUUUCACUUGAAAUAAUGGUCAUUUUGACAUUUUUAUCCAAGCUCUGAAAUCUCUUUUGACAUUACAAAAAUAGAUUAUAAAAUGAGAAGCAAGUUUUAGUAACUAAGCCUAAGCCUGUUGAACAAUGUUUCUGCACAGCCAGAAAGAUACUUUUGAAAAUAUUCCACAGUGACCAUGGGUUCCAAAAGCAGCGUGUGAUUUUCAGAAGUCAGGGUCAUAUCACAGGAAAACUGUUCUGUACUGAAGUAGCAAGACUUCAUCUCCUAUAUCCAAACUGCUUUUAUCUGCUUAAUAGAGCUAUAAAUUUUGAUCAGCUAAGGUUGGCAAAAAGUAGGAAGAAAAUUGGCUUGGUUGAACUUGUAUUUGAUCAACUGUAGAAUGAAACAAGACUGUUCCCCCCAAAAUGAACAGAUUACUUAACAUUGAUUGGUAUUUAGUAAAGUUGUGUUCAGAAACAGUCAUAGACUAGUUUCUGGAUACUAGAUGAUUAAAUAGGUGAAGCCCAUUUACACACCCAACUCUACCCUUUGAGGGAGGGUAGAACCUGUUGGAGAGGAGAAGAGUGACAGUGAUGAUGGUAAUUGUGGUGAUAUUCACCUUUAUUGUGCUUUUAUUAUGUGUUGGGUUCAUUGCAAAGAUUUUCAUGUUAAGUAUCUCAUUCAAUUGCACAGUACUGUGCAUGUUCUGCUUGAGGUACAAAAGUGAUCAUUGAUUCAAUAUCACACAGCAAAAAUGUAUAAAAUAUUGAAAAGAUACAAGUCAUUUUCAGAAAUAUAAACUAGAACAAAGGCACAAUGCCUCAGCAUUUCAUUUGCAAUAUUAUGUUAGCACAUUUGCACCCGUCAAGCCCACAGUCUUUGUCAAACUGUGUUAAUCUCGGUGGUGUGAGAAAUAUAUACCAUAAUACAAUUAGAUAUGCAAGAUAUUUACUAGGGAAACAUCUGAGAGGGAAAGGGAGAAAUAUACCAGGAGAGACAGAAGAUGAUGAUUUAGGUCUGGCCCUUGUGAAGGACAGAAGGAAGGAAGGUGGUAGAGUUUGACAAGAACCGUGGGGAGUCCUCCAGUCACUGCUCCUGUCAGAAGUUAUCUGAAUCUCCUGGAAAGAGCUGCCUUAGUAUCCCUGUCAUAAUCAUCCAUUGGCUCAGAACCCCUGGAAGAGGCAUGACCUCGAUGCAAACACAGUGAAGGGUUUCAGAGCCCAGCAGUUAGGGCUUUCCAUCAAAUAUGCCCAUAGUCAAGGGCUUCCCAGGUGGUACUAGUGGUAAAGAACCUGCCUGCCAAUGCAGGAGAUAUAAGAGAUGAUGGUUUUAUCCCCGAGUUGGGAAGAUCCUCUGCAGGAGGGCCUGGCAACCCACUCCAGUAUUCUUGCCUGAAGAAUCCCAUGGACAGAGGAGCCUGGUGAGCUAUAGUCCAUUGGUUCUGCAAAGAGUCAGACAUGACUGAGGCGACUUAUUUAGCACAGGACCAUAGUGAAGGGGCACAGUUUCAUGGCAGCUGCAGACCAAAUGCAGAUAUCAGCUUCAGCUUGCUAUUUACCACAGACUUAAAUAGAGCACAAUUCAUUCAUUCUCAUGUAUUCAGCAAAUAUUUAUUGUAUGUGUAUGUUGAAGAGAUCAUGUGUACUUAAUAGUAAAGUCAAAAUGUUAGUUGCUCAGUUGUGUCUGACUCUUUGUGACCCUGUGGGCUAUAACCUGCCAGGCUCCUCUCUCCAUGGAAUUCUCCAGGCAAGAAUACUGAAGUGGGUUGCCAAUGUAAAGUCAAAUACAAGUCAAAUAAUGGCACAAUAAAUGUAAAGUUAGAGCUGUGAAGAAGGGUUAUGGAGAAGUUUUGUCUUACUAGAGGUUUAUAGGAGCAACAAACCACACCCCCUUCCCUUUUGGUAUAAAAGAAACCUGAAUUCUAACUCAGAUAAGAUGGUUCUUAAGGCCCCUAGUCCACCAUCUCCUCAGUUAGCUUGCUUUCCAAAUAAAGUCCAUAUUCCUUGUCCCAACAACUCAUCUCUCAAUUUAUUUUCCUUUUGUGUGGCAACAGUACAAGUUUGGACAUAGUAAGAAACGUUACCAUUCUAUUUAUAUUAUAUAAUUUGUAAUAACCUGUCAGAUUUUCUCUAUAUGGUCAGAAAAUGUGAAUAAGGAUCAGCCAAAUGAGAAAUACCAUACUAAAAUAGUUAGCAAAAUUCUCCUUCUGGAGUUUUUCUUUUCCCAAAUUUAGAGGUUUUUUGUUUUUUUGCCUUAAUUUCCUUUACCAAGUUCAUAUGUGGAGUCUCAUUCUGGUGGCCAAAUAAGAUGUGAAUGAUGACUGCUUGCACUUUGAUACAUUGUUUAUAUUUAGGGAUUUCAUGAUGAAAGCUGCUGUCACCAUUUCAGUGUAUUAAGGGACAGUUAUGUGCAGAUGGUAUACAUAGUCAUUUCCUGGUUAUACAGGAGCCUGGAGUAAGUUGAUUCAUGAUUUAAUGAUUUUUAUCAGAAUGAAAUAAGCAUUUGAUUUUUGAAUUUGAUCAACCUCUAUCUGCAGCUGUGCCCCAACUAGCAAUUACUUCCUCCCUGGGCUCUUUGCCCAGGCAAAUGGGGUUCAUCCUUGUUUCAUGUCUCACUGACUUCCCUGGUAAUAGACAUGGUAACUACUUGAGCUAUCGCUGCCUCGGAACUGCAAAGCUCCAAAAACUCAACAAGACAUAUUUUCUGUUAUCAUUUUAUUUAUUUAUUUACCCAGCAUAAUAAAAUGCUUCCUCUAAUCAUACGCUUUUGAGAGUCAGUUAAUUUUCUACCCAUCAAAACUUAAAAGCAAACUUCUAAGGAUUGUCUUUUUUAUGAGAUACAGCCAACUAUAACAAUUCUGUUUAAAAAGAUUCAAUAUCACUGUGGUGGGAGUAACAUUCCUAUUUGCUUCUUUGCCUCAGUUUUACUGAGAUCAUUUUGGUACACAUGGUUGGCAUCAAAUAUCUUCUCUAGCUGCCAAGCAUGUUUGGCUUAAGGCAGACACCAAAAUAAUUUUCCUACUCUUUCCUUAUUCCUUCCAUGAUUCCUUACUUAUUGCUCAGUGAUUAAGAGCACCAUUUCUGUUUUACAGUGUACUAUGCCUUUCUCUAAUUGUUUUAAUGUAAUUGUGAAUGAAAUAGGGCCUGUGAUUCAGCAUUUUUCACGUGCAUGUGGUGGUUUCUGAUUUCAGAUGGGACACAUUAGAUAGAUUUAACUUUGCUGGUAGAAAAGUUAAUAAGGUGCAUGCAGUAUUUAUCUGCUCUUUGAAUAUUUGCUAAAGCCUGUCUGUAUUCUGAAUGGCAUAAUUUCCCAGCCUUCUUCAUUAAAAAGAUAGUAUAAUUAAAAUGGCAACUACCCAAUCACAACAGAUAAAUCUGUUGCCAGCUGAAAUCUUACAUGUACUUAGUUGAUAAAAUGAUUCUAUUUACUAAAUCUUAUUAGUUAUCUGGUAAAAUGACUCUAACUGCUCUCCUUGUUUCUAUGUAGUUAGCAGAUUAAGGCCUGGACUCUUUAAUCUCAGAAAAUUAAAUCUGCCCCGAUUGUCAUAUUGAUGGAGCAUCUGUUGUUCCAGGUGCUUGCCUAGUUUUUCAGAGCUGUGAAGUGAGCUAUCACAAUCCACCUGCAUAAGCGAGAGUCUUCCCAGAGAUGCUGUGCUUGAGACUCCAAUUUGAUGUAUUUGUUAGACUUGCAGAGGGGUAGUGGGCCAUGUACAUAUGUCACAUGUUCAGACUACAGGUGUUUUAAACGCAUGCACGAUGGGAUAUGUUUGCCAUGUAUUUGCCAACCCAAGCUAAAUAGUCAUUUUAAUAUCCUAGCAGGCUGAUAGAAAAACACAAUAGGAGAACCAAAAAAGAGUUUCAUAGGUCUAAAAAAGAUCUCUGAUCUGUAAUUGAUUAUCACUGAUAAUGUUUUAGCAUAGCAGAAGGGGACUAGCGGGGGAAUAUUUUACUGUAUAAUAAAAUUUUAAAUGGUGAAAGAUCUGAUAGGUUGCAUUUUUGUAGGGUAUUAUUCAGGACAUAAAGUUUAAAAUUUCAAAAUUAAGUAUUCCUAUAUCUUAGGGUGAAAUUUAUUGAACUACACGUAUGUGUCUAUACAGUUUUACACACACACACACACAUAUGUGUACAGCUCAAUGACUGUUCACAAAGGGAACAUACCCACAGAAAGUCAGGAAAUCGCUCAGCUCACCUUCUAGGCACAGUCCCCAGCCGGAAGAUUAACCCCUGUCUGAACUUCUAAUAGGUAAUCUACUUUUGGGGGGGACAGGAGUAGGAAAACAUUUUUGAACAUUUUAUUGAAUGGUUAAAUAGUUUGAAAAUGAGGGCAUCAUUCACAUUUUCAGAAACUGAAUGUUCCUUCAAAUCCAAGUCAAGAAAUAAAAUGUUUCCUCUCAGAGACCCUUUCACACCCUUAGCAAGCUCUGCUCCCCACCGAGGGUUAACCCUUUCCUGACGCCUACCAGUUGCACUGAGUUUCUCCUGCUUUUGAACUUUACAUAAAUUGAAUCGCAUGGUAUGCACUCUUGUGUCUGACAUCCUUCACCAAAUAUUGUACCUGUGACAUUCAUCCAUGUUGCUGCACACAGGGUUAGGAUAAGUGGUAUGUUUCCAUUCCAUAGUGGGUCUGUACCACAGUUUGUAGGCCCAUUCCCUUUGUGGGCCUUUGGGUGAUUACAAAUAGUGAAAACUCCUCUUUUAGCCUUUCUCUGAAGUCAGAGAAAUACAUAGGGAUUUUAUUCCUGUGUAUUUUCUGACAACGGAGAAGAAAAAAAAUCUUUUUUUUUUUUUUUUUUGACACAUAAAAGCCUCUCAUCAUUCUGAGUGCCGCUCUUUGCCCUCUAUAAUGUAUACUGAGCUUUUGCUCCCUGGUGAGAAGAAGGUCCAGUCCUUUGAUGCUGGGUUCUGAGAGGAAUUAAGUAUUUCUCUGGUCAUUUAAUUGGAAAAUCGUCCCAUAACUGUAACAUUUUGCAGCAAUUAACUAUUGCUCGUGUGUCGAGUCAGUUCAGUUUAGUAGGAUAUAAUCAGGAACACCUUUGAGUUCUCCAUUGCUGCCUUCAGGAGUGAGGUCUUUCUCUCCACGCUUAGAUUCCUCCCCCACCUUUUUUUCCACACAGGGAUGUUAAAAAAAAACAAACCUGGGCCAGUUUAAAUCAAAACUUCAAUCUCUCCAUCAGUUAAAGCCUCUCUCCUCCGCCAGCACAGCUUAACUCCUUUGCUCAGAGAGAAUUGGAAGAAGGACACUCUGUUCUUUCAUGUUUCUUUGCCCUUCAGCUCACUCUCUCUGGCCCUGAAUCUUCAGUGGUUGGUUUAUUGGAGUAUUUGGGAAAGAGAAAGGAAGAGACAAAGAGUGAACAAAUGAUGGAAGGGGAAAAAAAAUAAGAGUUUUUAGUCAAUUGUGUUCACAGUUCUCUCUUGCUUGUCAAAUUCUGUCUUGGUAAAUCCUGGAUAUUCUUGUGGGUAUAUAACUGUGUUCUUUAGAGAUUCCAAUGACUUCUGAUCCAGGUGCUAUGUUCUACAGCUGACCUUUUGAAACAUCCCCUCCUGUGAUACACUCACAGUUUUAAUUCUAUGAAGUCCCCUCAUUUUGGUGGGCAGCAAGGUGGAAUUCACUUGGUUCUCAAGGAGUCAUACAUUUUUGCCCCUCUAAACCAUGGAAAUAAGCUUGCUGGCCCCUUUCUUCUGCCUGAUAUAAUGGGCUGCAGUGGUGUGAUCACUCACCAGGGCCAGACGAGUCAAGUGGGCCUUAGGAAGCAUUAUUAUGAAAAAAGUUAGUGGAGGUGAUCGAAUUCCAGCUGAGCUAUUUAAAAUCUUAAAGGAUGAUGCUGUCAAAGUGCUGUACUCGAUAUGUCAGCAUAUUUGGAAAACUCAGUAGUGACCACAGGACUGGAGAAGGUCAGUUUUCAUUCCAGUCCCAAGAAAGGCAAUACCAAAGAAUGUCCAAACUACCAUACAGUUGCUCUCAUUUCACAUGCUAGCGAGAUUCUAAUGGGCUGUGCCAGGCAGUGAAUAAGCUGCCCUUCUCACAAGUACUCCAAAUACUACAGAAAAGAUGACAAAUACUUCCAUCCCCUCUUUCCUGCUCACAUAAAUUUAUUUCAAAGAACCUCUGCCUUCAAUCUCUUGCCUUCUUUUUUCCAACUUGUGAUGGCAGUCAUCAGACUUAUUUUGUUCUCUUUUGUUAAUAUCUCACAGGGCACUACCAAGAAUGUGUGCUUGUUUCUGAUUGACCUUGGUUUUCAGGCCUUGGCCAAAAUUUUAGUAAUAAAAGACCUAGGUAAUACCUUAUUAUUUGAGAGCAGAGUCAGGUUAAAAUUGGUCUUAUUUAUGGAGUGUCUACACUGCCUGGAGCCACCUCAAGUACUUUGGGAAAUAAGAUGGGUCUAGCUGCUUGGUUAGAGAGGUAAACUUUAUUUCUACCCAACACUUUCUAGGCCAUAUGGAGGACUGAAGACAUUUGGACUAUCAAGGAGCUCCUCAUCAAGUUUGAGAGACAAGAUUUCCAUCCUUCAAACAUUAAGCUCAUCAUGAUUUUGCUCUGUAAAUGGCAGCAUGGAAUGGUAACAGAUAAACCAUUAUCCAGACGUUAACCUGAAUCCAGGGGAGCAUUAGCCAUCUUGCCAUCUCAUUACUGAGAAGCUAUUGCUUUGUCCCAUGGGUAUUGUCUCAAAUGGCCAGAACAGCUGGCUGGGAGCAGUCCCCCAUCAGGGCACCACUGUUUCCUAUAUUGAAACACCAGAAAGCAAACAGUCAACUCAACAGGAGAACCACAGUAUUGAGUUCAUGGAGGAAAACCUUCCUGGGUUUCUGAUUUAAUCUGUACCAUGUAGAACUGCUGCUUUUGAUCAUUUAUUUGAUCUACCUCAAACUUUUUCACCAAACAAACUGUAAGAACAGAGAAGUUCAAUUGAUUGAUUACCCCCUCACAGUUCUAGGGAGUUAGCUUACAGUAGCCUGUAACAAGUUUGAAACAUCUUUUUUUUUAUUUCUAAAAAAAUAAUCUGAGCUUUAUAUUCAACCUACAGUGUGUGUCUGUUUUAGUUUUCAAGCUUUGGCAAAUUUCCAUGAUAUAAGGUGGUAUCUCUGUUUACUUACAGGCACAUUCCCACAUACAGGAACACCUUGAUUUAUUGAGCUUUACUUUACCCUGCUUCUCAAAUACUGUGUUUGGUUUUUUUUUUUUUUUUUUUAAUAAUUUGAAGGUUUGUGACAACCCUGCAUUGGCAAGUGACAGCAUUUUUUAGCAAUAAAGUACUUUUUAAUUAAGGUUUGUACAUUGUUUUUUUAGGUAAAAUGCAGUGGACACUUAAUAGACUACAGUGUAGAAGGCUCAGUGGUAAAGAACCUGUCUGCCAGUGCAGGAGAUGUGGGUUUCAUCCCUGGGUUGUGAAGAUCCCCUGGAGAAGAAAACAGCAACCCACUCCAGUAUUCUUUCUUGGGAAAUCCCAUGGACAGAGGAGCCUGGUGGGCUACAUUCCAUGGAGUCACAAACGAAUUGUACAUUACUUAGCAACUACACAACAACAGAUAAAUAUAAUUUUUAUAUGCAUUUAGAAACCAAAAUUUUCAUGACUUACCUUAUUGAGAUACUCACUUUAUUGUGGUGGUUUAGAAACAAACCUGCAGUAUCUCUGAAAUAUGCUUGUACCCUAAGGAGUAUGCUUAGUCCAGUUCAAGAGAUAAAUACUAUUCUGUGGGUUCGGGAUAAGUGUCUUGGCUUAAUUCACAUCAUGAUAGUUAUGAAACUUCAUUGCUUUUAAAAAUGAUCCAAGGAGGCUCAAUCCCCAUAAUCUGGAAGCACAUUUUAACCAUAGGAGUGUAAAUAUGACUAUCUCAUGAAGAAUAGUGUAGUAUUACCUAAUAUUUUUAAAUGUUUACCUUUAUUGAGGUAUAAGUGACUAAUAGAAUUGUAAGAUUUGAAGUGUAUAUUGUGAUGAUUUGAUAUAGGUAUACAUUGUGAAAGAAGUCCUCCCAUCUAGUUGAAUAGUAUAUAUGUGACCUCACGUAUUUAUCUCUCUUUUUUUUUUUUUUUGGUGAGAACAUAUAGGUCGUCAUCUUUUAACAAAUGUCAGUUGUGUAAUAAUGUUAUCAGCUAUAGUCAUCGUGUUGCAUAUUAGAUCCUCAGAUUGUAUUCAUAUUUUAGGUGAAAAUUGGUAACCUUUUACCAACCUCUGUAUUCCCACCUACUAGCCCCUACCAACUACUUUUCCACUCUGAGUUUAGCUUUUUUUUUCUUUUUUCAGAUUCCAGUUAUAAAGCAUGGCCUUGCUCUAUUUGUCCUCUGUCCAGUGUAUUGCACUUAGCAUAGUACCCUCAAGGUCAUCCUUGUUGUCAUGAACGGCAGGAUUUCCUACUUCUCAUGGCUAAAUAUUAUGCCAUGAGAAUAUUAUUACACAUAAUAUUAUAUGUAAAUAGACAUAGAUGUCACAUACAUAUCUAAAUAUCACAUGUAUUUGUGCACCUAUAUGCCUAAUUCCUUGUCUACUCAUCCAUGACCGACUUAGGUUGUUUCCAUGUCUUGUCCCUUAUGAGUGAUAAUGCAAUGAACAUGGGAGUGCAGCUUUCUCCUUAAGAUCUUGUUUUCAUUUUUGUCGGAUGUAUUAUACCCAGAAGUGAAAUUGCUGGAUCCUAUGGUAGUUCUAGUUUGAAUUUUUGAGGAAUCUCCAUACUGUUUUCCAUACUGGGUACAGGAAUUUGCAUUCCCAUGUGUACACAAGGUUUCCCUGUUCUACAUAUGCUUGCCAAUAGUUAUUAUUUCUUGUCUUUUUGAUGGUACUCUUUGUGACAGGUGUGAGGUGAUAUCUCAUUGUGACUUUCAUUUACAUUUCCCUGAUGACUAGUGAUGUCAAGCAGCUUUUCAUGUACCUCUUAGCAUCUGUAUCUCUCCUUUGGAAAAAUGUCUAUUCAGAUCUUCUUCCCAUUUUUUAACUGGAUUUUUUUGUUGUUGUUGCUUUUCUGUAAUUUUUUGGUUUUGCUUUUUGCUAUUGAGUUCUAUAUGUAUUCUGGAUAUUGGCUUCUUAUCAUGGCUAUAAUUUACCCAAAAAAUAGAUCUAUAUUUUGCAAAUGUUUUCACCCAUUCUGUAGAUUACCUCUUCAUUGCACUGAUAGCUUUCUUUGCUAUGCAGAAACUUUUAUUUUUUUUUUAAUUUAUUUAUUU